UACGUAGGGUGCAAGCGUUGUCCGGAAUUAUUGGGCGUAAAGAGCUCGUAGGCGGUUUGUCACGUCGGAUGUGAAACCCUGAGGCUCAACCUCAGGCCUGCAUUCGAUACGGGCAGACUAGAAUUCGGCAGGGGAGACUGGAAUUCCUGGUGUAGCGGUGAAAUGCGCAGAUAUCAGGAAGAACACCUAUGGCGAAGGCAGCUCUCUGGGACGGUACUGACGCUGAGACGCGAAAGCGUGGGGAGCGAACAGG
rnacentral:rRNA from 1 species